rnacentral:rRNA from 1 species
UACAGAGGUGGCAAGCGUUGUUCGGAAUUACUGGGCGUAAAGGGCGCGUAGGCGGUCUUGCAAGUCCCGUGUGAAAUCCCUCGGCUCAACUGAGGAACUGCACGGGAAACUGCUUGGCUUGAGUUCGGGAGAGGGAAGCGGAAUUCCGGGUGUAGCGGUGAAAUGCGUAGAUAUCCGGAGGAACACCGGUGGCGAAGGCGGCUUCCUGGGCCGACACUGACGCUGAGGAGCGAAAGCCAGGGGAGCAAACGGG